rnacentral:rRNA from 1 species
GGGCCCGCACAAGCGGUGGAGCAUGUGGUUUAAUUCGAUGAUACGCGAGGAACCUUACCAAGGCUUAAAUGUAGAGGGACAGGCGGCGAAAGUUGCCCUUCUUCGGACUCUCUACAAGGUGCUGCAUGGUUGUCGUCAGCUCGUGCCGUGAGAUGUUGGGUUAAGUCCCGCACGAGCGCAACCCCUAUCUCUAGUUGCCAGCGGAUAAUGCCGGGGACUCUAGAGAAACUGCCCGUGCAAACGGUGAGGAAGGUGGGGAUGACGUCAAAUCAUCACGGCCCUUACGUCCUGGGCUACACACGUGCUACAAUGGUCGGUACAGAGGGCAGCUACCACGUGAGUGGAUGCAAAUCUCGAAAGCCGAUCUCAGUUCGGAUUGGGGUCUGCAACUCGACCCCAUG